CCAUAUAGCAUUAAAACACCAGUUCCCGUAUGAUCACCAAAGUUAAGCCUAGUUGAGCCUGGUCAGUACCGAGAUGGGCGGCUGCUUGGAUGUACAAGGUUGAUGUA